rnacentral:misc_RNA from 1 species
CACACGCUUGCAGGCACACGGCAGCACAGAAGCGCACGGCGUCUUUUGCGCCCCCUUUUCCCUCCCGCCAUCCACUCAUCCGCUCCCCCACCCCCUCCCACAAACACACACACUGUGACUCUCCCUUUGCGUGUGUGUGUGUGUGUGUGUGUGUAUGCUCGUCCGUGGGUAACUCAUCGCGGUGUCUCUUCUGUAUCUAUUUCUCUUUGACGGCGCCUCAUUCCAGAGGAUCGUGUUGCACGCGUGGAAGCAGCGAAUAGGCACACGCGCACGCAAGCACCUGGAGGUGUUGGCUGCCGCCCCCCCCCUCUCGUCUGCCAUGUCCGGACGGGCAACAACGUGCGCCAGCGUGACCUGUGAUCCUCAUGGUAUUUCAAUGAACCUGACGACGUCAUCAGCAGCGGGUGCGGAGCCUUCGUCAGAGAUUGAGCAAAUCCGACAGAAGCUGUUGUUAUGCCUGCAAUGCCAGCCAGAGCUUCGGGAGCUGCUCGAGCUCUGUGGUGAAAGUAAUGCGUGGACAGCGGAGGAGGCGAUACAGCGACCAGACACGAUCACCACCAUCGAGCUCUUCCUCCUCCAGGUGCCCCGUGUGCCACUCGUGCCGUUCUUUCCCAACCUGGUGACGGUGAAGCUCAUGAGCAUCGGCCUGGAGUCGAUGGCCAACUUCGCCUCACUCGCACACGUCGAGGAGCUGUGGCUGUCCGACAACAACAUCCGCGUGAUCGAGGGCUUGGAUAACAUGACAAGGCUGCGGCGCCUGUACCUGCAGGGCAAUCGCAUCGAUUCGCUCAAUGGGAUGCCGCCGCUGCGCCACCUACGCGAACUGUGGCUGUCGCGUAAUCGACUGUCCGCUCUCACCCACCUCACCCCUCUUCGAAAGCUGCGCUCGCUCUACGUCUCCUGCAACCCGCUGGAGAGUCUCGAGAACGCUUUCUCCAAGGACAUGUCGCACUUGCACGAAGUGAACCUGAGCGGAUGUCAUCUUAGCUCUAUCACCGAGCUCCGCCACCUCCAGCAGCUCUCCUGUCUGCGAAACUUGUGGCUGCUCGACCCGCUCUUUGGCGACAACCCGAUCUGCCGCCUCAACAACUACGUCACUCUGACCAUCUCCAUGCUGAGCUCCCUCGACACCCUCGACGGCACCUUCGUCACGCCGGAGCAGCGUUCGCUCGUGGAGUCAGUGCUGCACAAGAAGCAGCUGUACUACGCCAUGCGGGCCCAGAUGCUGGACACCCAGAUCACACUUCUUGCGCGUCACGCCGAAGCCUGUGCGCUCCGUCACACUCGGGACACCGGCAGGGCGUUGCUGAGGUUGAAGGCCUGCGUGCAGCCGAUCGAGCACGAGCUGGCUGAGCGGGCCAUCUAUCACCUAGAUGACAAGCACGGCGCCGGCGGCAGCAGCGGAUCGCUCUGCGGAGUGAUGGCCGGUGAAAACAAGGGCGGCGACCACGCGGGUGGCGCCCCGCUUGUCGUGCCGACGGCGACUCUUGAAGCGCUCGGACGGCAGCUGUCCCGUGCGAUCGACACCCGCGAAGUGCAGGAGCGCAAGACAAUGCUGAAGCUGGCGGAGGCAACGCAGGCGGCAAAGCUGCAGGCGCAGCUGCUGACGGAGCGCUUCGCCGUGGAGCUGCACACGGCCGGCAAUGUUCGCCUCGAGAGCCUCUCACCGGAUCAUGAGGCGUACGUGGCUGCCGUAGAGCUCGUUCGGGAGCGCUUCGACAGCGCGCUCUUCGACGAGCGCUUCGGGAUUGCGGGGGUGGAGGUGACGUGCGUGCGGCGCAUCCUCAACCGCGGCCUUCGCCUGCGCUUUGAUGACCGGGUGAAGGAGCUGCACGUCGACUUGGCGAACCCGCAGCUGCGCAGCCGCUUUGUGGGCUUGUUCGGAAUCGUGCCCGUGACCCAGCGGGGCCAGAGUGCUUGCCUGCAGCACGUGCUGGUGUGCGGAAUGGCAGCGCGCCUCGCAGCGCCAAGCGAGGACGGCAAGAAGAGCGGCGUCGCGAGUCAGGCGGGUAGCACGUGGUACCAGCCCGUGCCCGCAGAGGAAGGCGUGCCUCUUACGAACAGUCUUUUCUACGCCGACGAGGAGCGGUUGUUGAGCUGCUGUGCCACCACCGGAGGAGCAAGCCGUGGCUGUGACUCAUCGCCGCCUGUCUCACAGCAGAGCUACAACACUGGCGCGCUCUCGAGCGGGAGUGAGGCGAGCCCGCUGUGCCGCGGUCAGGUUGUGCUCUAUCGUGUGUACCUUGGCAAGACGGUGCACGCCCUCGGCGGCGGCGGCUGUGUAGGGCGCUCCACAUCGUCGCCCGCCUCCUUUCUGAAGCAAAACGGGCGGGUGUGGCGCAAAGACUACGGCGCCGACACCUGCGCCGCCUACCGCCUCCUGCCGAGCACCGCCGCCACCACCCCAGCAGGCGAGAGCGGGAGUGCCAAUGCCCAGCCGUUGCCGUCGCCGUACAUGUGGUACUGCUUCGACCGCGCUCUUCUCCUGCCCGACUGCGUUGUGGAUUACACGUAUAGCAUGCAUAACACCCCUCUCACGCAACCCGCGCGAUCACCCACGACAGCAGGCGGCGGAGCGUCGUGGAUGAGCCGGGCGGAGGCUAUGGCGUUGCUCACCGGGUUCCCGCUCCCGCCGAUGGUGGAGUGCGAAGCGAGCAGUGCUGGCGCGGACGACAGUCAGCAGAGCAGCAAGGGGACGGACGCCGUCGAGGAUGUCCUACACUGCGGCGAGCCGCUGCUACAGUUUAUUUGCUGGUGUAGUCCGCCCAGCAAGCACGCGCGCUCCCGCGACACUGUCUCGCAUGGCAACACCUUGCAGCAGGUGGCCGAAACGGAGACGAACGAAGCUCUGGCGCGUGCGCACAAAGUCCUGGGAAAGGCUUGCAUGGCGCGCCUGCUGAGAAACGGUGCGGUGGACGACAGUGCGGGUGGGGGCGAUGAUUGGAGCAAUGACGCCAGCAGCAGCAGCGCCGCCAACCCGCUGCACGCACGACAUGUAGACGAGUACGCGGCACAGAUGUGCGUGAACGGGGCACCCCUGUCGUUGUGCGUACUGCGCAGCAGAGGCAUCACAGCUGUCUUGCAAGAUUUCGCGACACCCCUCUGUGCGUCCAUCACUGCGUUGGACCUGGCGCACAACCGAAUCGCCUCGGUCUCGUGGUUCGCCUUGGCUAAGGAAGCACCGCAGCUGCAGCGGCUCAACCUCAGCGGCAAUGCCCUUUCUCGUCUCCACUUCGACGGCAGUGCUUUGCCCGCGCUGCGGGUUCUGGAUGUGAGCAACAACGAACUCGUGAGCGUGACAGACUUCGCGGCGAUUCGCACGGCUGCGGGGGCGCUGGAGGAGCUUGUCGUGUAUGGCAAUCCGUUUUUGCAGCACGCCGAUGGGCAGGAGGCGGAGGCGCGCCUUUGGCUGUACUUGCUCCCGCCGCCAACCUCAGCGACGGCGAUGGCGGCAGGUGGCAGCCCGGCCAUUGUGAAGCUGAACGCGCACGCGCUGGGCACGUACCCCGGCACCUUGGCUUCCCAGCGAUUUCGCCGCGCCUGCCUGUUGCCAGGAGGACGCGUGACCCCUCAAAUGUCCCGUGUCACCGCCUGCCUUGUGAAGUCCGUCCAGCGGGACGAAGAGCUCGGCUGCGCAGCUGCCGGCCUCUUCUCCGUAGAAGGCGCCACUACCCAGGAGAGUUGCUUCGAGCAAGUGGCGGCGCAGCUGGAAAUGCUGAUGGUGGCUGAUAAACUUGAAGUGCACCUCCGCGAGGCAUGCCAACGUCCACCGGCUGCCGAUGAAGCCCGUCCCCGCUUCCUCAGCGAAGCCCUCGGUGGCAGCGAUCUGCCGCUGUCGCCGUCGCUGCUGUCGUGCUUGAAUGAGUGUCACACGUUCCGCUGGAGCCACGGCCUUCUCGACGACCCACGUGGACUCGUGGGUCUCUUGCCGAAUCUCUGCCACUUGACACUGCGCGGCCAGGCACUCAGAGAUAUUCAUCCGCUACUCCACCUGCGUCGACUCGAAAGCCUGAACCUGUCGGAGAACCACCUCACCGAGCUGCCCUGCCUGGAAGAACUUAGGGCGCUGCGCGAGCUAGUGCUGGACUUCAACGAGCUAACGGCGCUCCCUCAGACUGUUGGGCCUCUUCCGGCGCUUCGCAUGCUCAGCGCCUCGGGCAACAAGAUUGCGCAGGUCGACGUCAGCCUCUUUGUGAGAAGCACGAAUGGCACUGCUGCACUCGACCCGCCCUCCCCUUCAGCCGCGACACCGACGCUCGAGGCGCUGUACCUCAUGUACAACCGCAUCGCGGAUAUGAACAUCAUUUAUGCCCUCCGUGAUGUGUCUUCGCUGCUGAUCCUGAACGUCGCCGGAAACCCCUGCACGGCCCCCCGCGGCGCUGCCGACGACGACGAAGUGCGGCCGUACCUAAUUCAUGCUUUUCCGCGGCUGAAGGUGCUGGACGGCGUCUCCAUCUCGGCCGCGGAGAUGGCCAAAGCGCGCGAGGUGUACGCCGGGAAAAUCAACAGCGACCUUCUCAUUGAGCGCGCUCGCGGCCCCCCAGAGACGUGGGCGUCGGUGCGCAACCUUAACCUCUCCCACUGCUCUCUCAAGGAGGUGAACCUGCUGGAACCCUUCAAGUCGCUCGAGGUGCUGCAUCUACAGCACAACUUGCUCGUGAGCGUCCUUGGGGUGGCCAUGCUGACAGAGCUGACGGCACUGGACCUGUCGCACAACCGUCUCGGCACGCCGCCGUGGCGCAACCCGAUCGGCGGUGCGCUCAACGCCAACGGCACUGGUGCCCCCGCCGCGGCAGGUGCCAUCGGAGCGGCUACGACGUCUCCGGCAGCACUGGGCGACACCCUCGCACGCCUCAGGCGUCUCCAGUCCCUCUCCCUGGAGGCGAACCAACUCACCGACCUCAGCACGCUAAAGCUGUGCUUUCCACAUUUGAAGUUUCUCAACAUUCGCUGCAACGAGCUGCAGCUCAUUCAGCGCGGGCUGGAAAAUCUGCCUGAGCUGCGCGAGUUGCUGCUGGAUCAGAACAAGCUGCGCGGCCUUGGCAGCGAUUCUUUUGCCGCGAACAAGAAGCUGAUCAUUCUGUCUGCGGAGAACAACGCCCUGCGCUCCGUCGAAGGGCUGCAACGGUGCAGAGCGCUGGAACAGCUACGGCUUGGGGCGAACCGACUGGGCGAUCUGAGCUCGUUGCUGAAUGAGUUGCAGUCUUGCCCUUUGAAGGCUGUCGUGCUCGUAGGCAACCCCAUCGCGCGCAAGACCAACUACCGCGCCGCCGUCAUCAACCGCCUCACGCAGUUAACAGACCUCGACCGGCGCGUUGUGACGCAGGAAGAACGGGACAAGGCCGCCUCGGCGCGCAUGAUGGAGCUGGUAGCGCCGCCGAAUGUAGUGAUCGACAUGAACUACUUUGCGGGCAUGGGAGCUGCACCAGCAGGGUCGCCAGCGCCACCGCAGCAGAACGGGCUCAACGUGAACGGCUUCGCUGGUGCCACCCUAAACGGCGGGACGGCUUUCUCUUCACGAGGUCGAGGCGUCGCUGCGCCGGUCAACGGAGCGGCGGUGAAGCUAAGUCCCUCUCAGCCACAGUUGACGGGCAUUCGUGCCGCGAUUGUGCCGAACAAGCGGGGCGGGGACGCCGAUCGGCUUGCUGCCAACCAACGCAUUCGACCCUACCGCCGUUGAGCGGGUCUUCUCACCGCUGAUGACGCUGCUGCAGAAACGCGCAUCCUUGGCGAGCGGAUGGGAGAGGUAGUAUGCGGUCCACAGGGACAGUGAAGCAGUGUUCUGGGUUGUGUGCGUGUGCGUGACGGUGAUGGCGUCAACGCAGCCCGGGUACGUGCGUUGAUGUGGGUGUUUGUUGCCCUAGGCUGUAUGCAUAGCCGCCGCCUCCUCCUCCCCCUGCGUGCGUGUGUGUGUGUGUGUGUGUCUGUGUGUCUGCGCCUCUAUUCGUCCCUUUAUCUUCCUUGUCGUGUAUGUGUGUGUGUGUGUGUGUGGCGAUGUUGCCACGUUGAUGUACAGCUUACGCCUGGAACAUAUGUAUGCAUGGGUAUAUAUGGAUUGGCGCCUAG